rnacentral:rRNA from 1 species
AGCGAACGCUGGCGGCAGGCCUAACACAUGCAAGUCGAACGAACCUUUCGGGGUUAGUGGCGGACGGGUGAGUAACACGUGGGAACGUGCCUUUAGGUUCGGAAUAACUCAGGGAAACUUGUGCUAAUACCGAAUGUGCCCUUCGGGGGAAAGAUUUAUCGCCUUUAGAGCGGCCCGCGUCUGAUUAGCUAGUUGGUUGAGGUAAUGGCUCACCAAGGCGACGAUCAGUAGCUGGUCUGAGAGGAUGAUCAGCCACAUUGGGACUGAGACACGGCCCAAACUCCUACGGGAGGCAGCAGUGGGGAAUCUGGCGCAAUGGGCGAAAGCCUGACGCAGCCAGGCCGCGUGAAUGAUGAAGGUCUUAGGAUUGUAAAAUUCUUUCACCGGGGACGAUAAUGACGGUACCCGGAGAAGAAGCCCCGGCUAACUUCGU